CCUACGGGGCGCAGCAGUGAGGAAUAUUGGUCAAUGGGCGCGAGCCUGAACCAGCCAAGUAGCGUGAAGGAUGACUGCCCUACGGGUUGUAAACUUCUUUUAUAAAGGAAUAAAGUGAGGCACGUGUGCCUUUUUGUAUGUACUUUAUGAAUAAGGAUCGGCUAACUCCGUGCCAGCAGCCGCGGUAAUACGGAGGAUCCGAGCGUUAUCCGGAUUUAUUGGGUUUAAAGGGAGCGUAGGCUGGGAGGUAAGUCAGCGGUGAAAUGCCCCGGCUCAACGGGGUGAAGUGCUGUUGAUACUGGCUUGCUGGAAUGCGUAAGACGUGGGAGGAAUGUGUGGUGUAGCGGUGAAAUGCAUAGAUAUCACACAGAACACCGAUUGCGAAGGCAUCUCACGAAUCCGCAAUUGACGCUGAUGCACGAAAGCGUGGGUAUCAAACAGGAUUAGAUACCCCUGUAGUC
rnacentral:rRNA from 1 species